AUGUGCAGGACAUUCUCAUUCAUUGGCAUUUCCAGCACUGUGAAAUUGCAGUGGAAGCAGAAUUAGCCCAGUGACGUUUACACUGAUAAUCCAGUGAAAAGUGCUGCUAAUUUUACAGCAUUAAGGACAUGAGGCUGCAAAGCACCAGUAAGAGAAGAUGACUAUGAAAUCUCUGGAGAUGGGAAUCCCAUGGAUUCAGGGCCUUGUUUCUGUAGCUGCUCCAAGUCAGACUACUCAAAGUGAACCAGGAUUGGAACAGCAGCGUCCAGCACCCUGCAGGAUCAGACACUGAACCAUCUGGAACAUCCACCUCCAAACCUGGAGCUGCAAACCCACUCCUGCAGCCAGCAACCCUGCAAGUCCAGCAGGAAACCCCAGCCAGAGCCCAGCAGAGCCAGGAGGCCCUGAAUCCACUGCACAUUCCCAGCCUGGACGUGUGGAACACCAGCCAGUGUCACCACAGGCACCUGGGGGACACUGAACAGUUUCAGAGACACCACAGGAAGCUGCCACAGGAGCCUGAGCCCAGCAUGCACAAGUGAAGACAGCCCUUGGGAAGUGCCAUGAAUCCCAUAUGGAUUUAAGGAAGCCAAGUCUUCAGCAGACCUGCACAGAACCAAAUGGAUCAGUUUCCUCAGCUCCCCCGUGAAGCCCAGCCUCAGCCACGAAGGGCUGUUCCCACAUGAAGGAACUCACGUGGAAAGCCGAGUGCACUUGCAUCGCCCCUGGAUUGGUAUGGGAAGUGCCUGGGGCAUCUCUUGUCCAUGUGGAACCCACAGGAUGGAUUUUCCAGGAUCUCAGCAACCACAAUUGGCACCAGCUUUUUCAAACAGUUCGGCUCCCUCAGACAUCACAGAAUCCCAGAAUGGUUUGGGUUGGGAGGGACCUUAAAGCCCAUCCAUUCCCACACCUGCCAUGGGCAGGGACACCUCCCACUGUCCCAGGCUGCUCCAAGCCCCAGUGUCCAACCUGGCCUUGGGCACUGCCAGGGAUCCAGGGGCAGCCCCAGCUGCUCUGGGCACCUUGUGCCAGGGCCUGCCCACCCUCCCAGGGAGGGAUUCCUUCCCAAUAUCCCAUCUAAAUGUACCUCUUGAAUUUGUUUGAAGACAUGGGAGCCGACUCUCAUUGACUAAUUAGAGGUUAUAGAUGAUUAAUGGUUGACUUUCUCCCUAGUGCC